rnacentral:lncRNA from 1 species
AGAUUUGCCUGUGGUCCACCAUAGCCUGCAUGUCCUGAAUUUGCAAUUCUUUUGGUUGUCCCCAAAUAAACUCAUUUUGAGGGUAAAGCAACUGGCCAAUUACUUUAUAAGUUGACACCUUCAUGACCUUUUUUUUUUUUUGCCUAUGUCUGAGAGCAAUGCAAGGUAGACAUAGGUGGCUUUAAACGUGAAACUCUAAAUACAUCCUCAAAUUUUGAUUUUGCUCUCAUUUAUUCAUUAUCAGAUGUUGUUGAUGUGUGUUGAUCAGCUAGAUCCAAAGUCUGUGCCAAGCAUGCAUUGAUGGAGUUCAUUUAUUUCUCUUUUGAAACACAAUCUAUUUACACUUCCUACGUUUCAGUGUUAAAUGCGGACUACUAUUUAUCUCAGUUGAUGACAUCUAAAACUUGCGCCUUCAGCUGGGGAGUGCACUGAGCAGUUUCCUUUUUCAUGAAUGCUAAAGAAAACCUCCUUAACUCUGAACAGAUGUUGAAAGGUCUGUUCCAACGUCAAAUAUUGCAAGUUCCUUAAGGCCCAAGAUCUGAUUGGUUCCACUCACUGUUGUUUCCCCAGUAUCUAGAACAGUUCCAGGACAUGAUCACGUCCAAGCACAAAUCUUUUUCCUAUGAAACCACCCCCUACAUGCUCUCAUUUUCAGUUAUCUCAUACUUAACUGACACCAUCUCCUCCCCCUUCCCACUUACCAUUCACACUCAGGACCAAACAGGAAUGGACUGCAUAAUACA